UUUCCGUAGGUGAACCUGCGGAAGGAUCAUUAUUGAAAAAGACAAGACGCCCCGUUUUUUCGUAAAAUGGGUUCAAUACCCACAGCCGUGUAUACCUUACCUUUUGUUGCUUUGGCAGGCCGCCUCCGGGCGUUGGCUUCGGCUGACAGCGCCUGCCAGAGGACCCAAACUCUGUGUUUAGUGAUGUCUGAGUAAUAUAUAAUAUUUUAAAACUUUCAACAACGGAUCUCUUGGUUCUG
rnacentral:misc_RNA from 1 species